rnacentral:tRNA from 1 species
GCGCCGGUGGUGUACGGCGAACAUCGCUACCCGGAAAGUAGAGGAAAUGCGGGUUCGAGUCCCGCUUGGCGCA